GAUCAACAUAGUUGGUGGUAAGUAUUAUCUUGAAUACCUUUGUCUAACCUGGUCUCCCUGUCACAAUUCUACAUCUAUUUUUUAUUAAGCAUUCAUGAAGCAUUUACCUCAUUUACUAAGCUUUAUUUUAUAAUUCAAUCGAACUAUUUAGAUAAUCUUUUCACUGUAUCAAAACUGUAUCAAAACAUAUCAUGUAUAAGCUAUAUCUGUGCUGUAAAAUGACAAUCCUAAACUACUAGAGCGUAGUUCAUUCAUUAAAAUUAGAUACCCACGUCACUAUUGAAAACUUUAAUAUCAUCUGGUUUAUGUAAAUAUCCGGUUAUAAUGUAUAAUAGUUAAAAAUAGAACUUUGAUAAAUUGUGUCUAAGCAACAGAAUAGCACAUUAUGUAAACACAACUUAAUAGUCAGGUGGGCUAUUAGAGGGUCGGAAUGUUAAUGUAUGGAGUAUAAAUAUCCCCUUGUCUCCAAAUAUACUUGACCUUCAUGUGCAGAUCAAUAAGUUUACAUUAUACUAAUCCACCGGCAAUUUUUGACAGUGACGUCAUUUUGUCAACAAACUAUAAAUAACCACGGUAUAUCCCCAAACAAAUGUAUACUUAUAAUUUUUUUUUUUGGUUGGAUUUAACGUCGCACCGACACAUGAUAGGUCAUAUGGCGACUUUCCAGCUUUAAUGGUGGAGGAAGACCCCAGGUGCCCCUCCGUGCAUUAUUUCAUCACAAGCGGGCACCUGGGUAGAACCACCGACCGUCCGUAAGCCAGCUGGAUGGCUUCCUCACAUGAAGAAUUCAACGCCCCAAGUGAGGCUCGAACCCACAUCGAUGAGAGGCAAGUGAUUUGAAGUCAGCGACCUUAACCACUCGGCCACGGAGGCCCCUGUAUACUUAUAAUAGAUAGAAAUAUGUCUACACAGUACUAGAGCCGAUUUACGCAAUCGAAUACCGCCGGAAGUAGAACAUUUAUGUCAACACCGGUUUCGUAUUUUCACGUGAAAACGGCCCAAAACUGAGAGGUUAUCAACAAAUUAUAAGUUUACGGGUACCAUGAGGAUUUUUCAUGCAUUUAAACGACAGAAGUACAAGCGAACAGAUGACACAUUAAAGUGGCUGCAGAAGCUUGAAAAGUUCGAUAGAGCAGGGGCAGUCAAAACAGUGGGAUAAUACUUCUAUAGUGUCCAAGAUAUCUAGUCAGGUUGAUAGAAGUGAAAGAUGGUCUGAUGGUACAAUGAUAUACAAAUGAUACUCUUUAACAAGUUUAACAUGUCAAUGUGUAAAAUGUUCUGUGGAUUCAUAUGAUGAGAAUACCAGUGUUGAUCUGUAUGACUUAAUUAAACACAGUUAUUGAUACCUUCAGAUAUUUACCUGUGAAAUCUUCAGUAUCACCGUUCAGCUAUUGUUCAAGAUCAGUGUCUGCAGCCUGCACAGUUUAGUAUAGAGGAGCCUUCUGAAUCAAUUUUGUUACAUAUUUGCUGUUAUUGUAGGACACACAUAUAGAGAGCAACAAGUCCUGUCCAGCCGUGCAUGUAAAUAUGAUUCAGAAACUUUGAGAAUAUGUAAACAUUACACUGUUAUAAUUUUCAAAAUACUGUGUCUUGUAGUGUAUCAAUACUGUUUUGUCUCAGUUUAUAGCACAGUAUGUUCACAAAUCAAACUUAACAUCAUAGUGAUCAGUAUUAUUAAAAUCAUUAAUUAGUUGUAAGGUGACAAAAUUUAAUUUCAUGCAAAACCGCAGUAAAACGUUUGAUAAUUUUCGCUUUUAAAGUUGUAAGUUUAAAGUUGGCAUAAAUUGUUUUUCUCCUUCAUAAAUCUAAAAAGUGAUUGGUCAUUAUAAUUGCAAUAUCAUUUUAGUAUGACAAAGUUUAUAUUGAACUAAAACACUAAUGUAAAUUUUUGAACUAGUCAAUGCAUUUUCUUCAGUCUUAAAACAUUUGUUUAUCGUACGUGUCAUGGCCCAUAACUCCUCCAUAUUACUUGUGUUUUGUCCUUUUUCGUUUCACUGAAGAAUAAGUAGAGGUAUUGUACAUCCAUUUUCUAGCAUCCUGAUUUUGUAAAGUAUUGUAUGUAAGCUUUUAUCUCGGAAUUAUGUCUCAUCCAAAGGUGGGGAGAGGUAUUGUUUAUGCCUUCUCGUCUAUCCGCAUUAAGCCUGUCUGGCUUUAAGAGGACAAGCUGCUGGCCAGAUUUUGAUUAAACUUCACAGGACUGAUCAGUACUAAGCAUUGUGUUGUGCAUAUGGCUUGCAUGUUUCGUUUCGAUGCACUAAAUUGCAGCCAGAGCUAAAAAUAGAAAAAUCUUGUCGGCUUUCACAGGUUAAAACUACUUAACAGAUUUUGAUGAAAUUCACAGGAGUGAUCAGUACCAAGUAUAUUUUUGCAUAUCACCGACACUUUCCAUUUUGCUGCACAAAAUAGCCGCCAUAGCUAAAGGUAUACAUAGGUGGGAGACAUGUUUUGUCAUAAAAAUACCUAAAACACUUUCCACUUUGUUAAUGAAAAAUGUAUCAAACUUCUUACAAUUGCAAACUGUAAUAAUUUGACAUUAAAUGCACUAGUUCCAUAACUGCAUUUGGCUUUUUUCAUAAUUAUUGCCCUUUCUUACCAUAGCAAUAUUUUGUGUAACAUGUUACCUCAUUCAGCAUCCUAAGAUCAGAAAGUUCUAUGACUCAGAAAUGUUGGCCCUUUUGUACUUGUCAUGAGUAUGUUUUCAGUAUUUUAUAUUGUCAUUACUUUUUGUUGUGCCAGUUUACGGAAAUGUAGACUUAGUUGUCCAAAUGGUGUGCCUGUGCCUGGCCUGAUUUGUUUGUCUGGACAAUAUAUUAUUGAUUAGUCUUCACGAAACUUUGCAGGUUAAUUUCCUUUAGUUCCCUGUCAACUUUGAUAGUGGCAUGGUUACAUUAGAAACACUAAAGUGAUGUCACCACUGUACUAGUCAAACGUUUUGUAUUUCAGAUUUUAUAUCACAUUAUAGGCUACUGGUCUUUAGCAGCCUUCAUAAAACUUUCAUAAAAGUUUCCAAAAAUGUUGUAUUUUGAUUUGAACUGGCAUUAUUCAAACAGUAAGAAGUAGUACUAUAAGGCAACAUUUGACCUAUUUUCCAGUACUUUUUGAUUUUCUCUGUUACUAUGAAGUUGCCUUUUCCUAGAAAUUGGUUGGCUUAUUUUUGAUGAUCUUAUGUUUUUAAUGAAUUGUAGCUAUGUUCUUUAUCUCAUGAAAACGUCCAUUUUUAUAUAAUUCAUAUUUUUACUGUCAGCAAAGUGCAUUACCAUUUAUCAUAAUAAGCUACUGUAUAGCUACUGUACAGUAUAUAAAUUACAGGUGAUAAUUCUCACCUUCAUAGCAAAUCAGUUCUCACCUUUAUAACCAGUUUAGAAAGCUUGAUUGAAUUAGGGCUAAAUAAACAACGUGAUAAGAUACAACAGUGUUUUUAUCAUAUUUUUAAUAAUCAAAUUUUUUAACAAUUACAUUUCAUCAUUGCUGUUGUUUUUUAAUCAAAAAUAUAAAAAAAAAUGCAUUCAGGCACAUAGCUUUUAGAAAUAAUAAAGUAUGUGUAUUUUGAACAAUGAUAUCUCUUUAUUGCUGGAUUUUAUUAUACAUAAAAGAAACGUUAUUUAGACAACACAAGGGGAAUUAUGCAUUUUUAAUAUAUAAAACCCUUCUGUCCAUAUUCCAUUUUAUCUAUUAAAAAUGCAACUGAACGCUUCUUUAAUUUCUAAUAAAAUCCAGCAAUUAUCUUUUUUUUUUCUUUUUUUUUUCGUUACUUUUGAUAAAAAGAUCAUAAUCAUUGAAUAAACAAACUUUUAAUUUCUUUUAUUAAGUUUUAAAUAAUUAUUUAAAGGUUAAGGAGUGAGAAUUGCUUUGCUAUAAGAGAUAUAAUUUAAUUGGCCGGGACAUUAAUCAACAUCAAUUAAAAAAACAUUUGUGUACAUUCUAAAAAAAUAAAAAAAAGCAUUUCAAUCAAUGAAAUGCAAAACACAGGAAAUAACCAAUUUAUCUGUAGGCAAUAAAAGUCAUGAUUCUCUGACAAUAAUUAGGCUACAUGUCAAGUCUACAGGGGUUUUAUGGACCCUUAUCAGACUGGAACAGAUAGGAUCUUGUAUAUUGGGGAUUAAAAAAAUCUGGUAUUUGAGGGGGGGGGGGGGGG